UUCGCUAGGUUUGUGUACAUUUCUUAGCGUCUAUUUGGUUUAUUUCUGACUUAAAUCACGUUGGACUAUGGCGACGUAGUUGCAUUAUCGGUUCCAAUAAUUGAUAAACAGGCUUUCAAAACUAAGAAUUUACAGUCUGUUGUCUACAUCACAAGAACAAAGCUGUCUGAAAGAUUUGAAACUGAUAAAGAAGAAGAAACUAGGUUUGUGUUCAUUUCUUAGCGUCUAUUUGGUUUAUUUCUCACUUAAAUCUCGCUGAAUUAUGGCAACGUAGUUGGGUUAUGGGCUCCAAGAAUUG